ensembl:processed_transcript metastasis associated gene 2
GAUGUCACCUGAAUCUAGUAGCGCGCAGCAUGGAACGCGAGUCGCGACCCCGGGUCCCCACGGCGGCGCGCGUCUCACGGGACACGAGGGUUGGGCGGCGGGAUAGGAAUUCAACAUUCAAGGUGGGAUUUUUUUUUUUUUUUAAGACAAGGGCGGCUCCCGGAAGGAUGUGCUCGGUUGGAAGGUGAGGCAAGUGGACGACGGGUGGCGAGUGCGUGUUACUCUGCACCCCUGCGCCCGUCUAGGGUACUGCAUGCGCCCCACCAACCCGGCUCCUACGCAGACGGUGGCACGGCCCGCAGGGUUCCCCCAGCGGAUGGUUCGCUCCGCCCCGCCUACAGAGGCAAUGAUCAGGCGGCUUCUGCUGGUUUCAAGACUCCCGCGUCCGACUCACUGGAGACCUUGCCAGGCCUUGGCCUUCCGAACCUCUUAAGGGUUGGGGGCAGUGGUCUUUAGUGCUGCUCCCUGGCGCUCACAUAGACGCAGCCUUGGGUCGGGCUAGUCUCUGGGACACCGGCCAGCCUCCGCCUUCAGAGCUGCGCGAGCGUUGUCUAUCAUGGUACACAGACUGGAAUGAGCUUGUUCUUAACCUCAGCUUCACUGUCCUCCUCCCCCACAGAGACUAUUCCAGGAUGCGCGACAGACACAUAAGACACUCGGUGAGGGUUAAAGAUCUUUAAAUAAGGAGCCAGUGACAAUAAAUAAUACUGUACAGGGG